rnacentral:piRNA from 1 species
UUGGAGCCAUGUGUUUGUUCUUAGCAGGAC